CGCUGGCGGCACGCCUAACACAUGCAAGUCGAACGAAGUAGCAAUACUUAGUGGCAGACGGGUGAGUAACAUGUAGGUAUCUGCCCUUUGGCCUGGAAUAACACGAGGAAACUUGUGCUAAUACCGGAUAAGUCUUUACGGAGAAAGCUUUAUGCACCAUUGGAUGAGCCUGCACUUGAUUAGUUUGUUGGUGGGGUAAUGGCCUACCAAGACUGUGAUCAAUAGCUGAUUUGAGAGGAUGAUCAGCCACAUUGGGACUGAGACACGGCCCAAACUCCUACGGGAGGCAGCAGUGGGGAAUCUUGCACAAUGGAGGAAACUCUGAUGCAGCGAUGCCGCGUGAGUGAAGAAGGCCCUUGGGUUGUAAAGCUCUUUCGUCGGGGAAGAAAAUGACUGUACCCGAAUAAGAAGGUCCGGCUAACUUCGUGCCAGCAGCCGCGGUAAUACGAAGGGACCUAGCGUAGUUCGGAAUUACUGGGCUUAAAGAGUUCGUAGGUGGUUGAAAAAGUUAGUGGUGAAAUCCCAGAGCUUAACUCUGGAACUGCCAUUAAAACUUUUCAGCUAGAGUAUGAUAGAGGAAAGCAGAAUUUCUAGUGUAGAGGUGAAAUUCGUAGAUAUUAGAAAGAAUACCAAUUGCGAAGGCAGCUUUCUGGAUCAUUACUGACACUGAGGAACGAAAGCAUGGGUAGCGAAGAGGAUUAGAUACCCUCGUAGUCCAUGCCGUAAACGAUGUGUGUUAGACGUUGGAAAUUUAUUUUCAGUGUCGCAGGGAAACCGAUAAACACACCGCCUGGGGAGUACGACCGCAAGGUUAAAACUCAAAUGAAUUGACGGGGACCCGCACAAGUAGUGGAGCAUGUGGUUUAAUUCGAAGAUACGCGCAG
rnacentral:rRNA from 1 species